rnacentral:lncRNA from 1 species
GAGGGCAUCCAUGUCACCGUUUUCAGCAAGAUUUGCCAGAUCCUUGCUGACUCCUUCGGUGUGGUCGCCUUGCUUCCCUUUAGGAGAUUUGCAGUCCCUCCUAAAGUGCCCCAUCUUCCCGCAGUUCCAGCACUUCGCUCCCUUGUUCUGAGGUGCUCGAGACCUGCUGGAUCUCGACUUCGAGUCGCUUCGAAAUCGACCGUCCUUCUUUUGUCUUCCCCGGUUAGAGAUGUUUAGUGCACUUCCAGACGACUCCGUAGCUCCAGAAGAUUUCCUUCUUGUUUCUU